rnacentral:lncRNA from 1 species
GACUGACCACCAUGGUCUGAUGAGUGUGGAUGACAUUGCCUCGAGGUACACAGUAGAAGCCUCUGCUGUCCAACACAUUUGGAUGACUGGAGAUUGGUCAAUAAUUUUUCCUCUUUUUUGAAUUUAUUCUGCUGCAAUAAUUUUGUUGUUUACUGAUAUAUAUAUAUAUAUAUAUAUAUAUAUAUAUAUUGAUGAUUUGAUAAGUUGGUGUAUUAGAUGUUUAACUUAUCAGCUUUACAAUAUGUUUCUACUGAUUGGUUGAGAUUAAAGAGCCACCUUUUCCCUUCUAUCUACCAUGUAGGUUUCUCCAAUCUCCAACACUGCUGGCCGCGGCAGUCUGCAAUCUCCUAUACACACCCAACGACUCAGGUCUCUUUCCCCAAUAAGGUGAGGACCCUUGUAGUUUAGGUGUUUGAUGAAAUGCCUGUUCAAGGUAAAAUUCUAGUUAACGUGUCCACGCUGCUUUGUUUUUUUGGCAAUUAUGUUGUGAUGUUCUAGCUUCAUGUUCGUGUAAUUAGAUGAUGUGGGUAUGAGAAGCGAAAAACAAGAUUAGUAUGGGAAUUAGUGUUGAUUUGGAGAAAACUGUAUGAUUACUUACUGAAAUUACAUAGAUAAUUUGCAAUUUCGAUGCCUUGCUUUCAUCAAUUUUGUCCGGCCAAGCCAGUAGCGCCUCCCUUGUAAAUUAAGAGACCUUUGAUGUUUUGUGAUCAGACUUGGUGGCAUGCCGUGGAUGUUAUUUAUUGUGAUCAGACUAAAUUUCUGUUAUGAAAGCUUUCUCUUUAUUUUUUUAGGAAUGCUAUUGCAGUUCUCUGUUAUCAUUUCAUACUCUAGAUAUUGGCGCCAACUUAUUAAAUCUGUUAUCAUUUCAUCCACAAUGCCCUUUUGAAUACAAUCACGAAUAUAAUGGUAGUGAGUGUCAAUGUGUUUGCUCCUGUCGUGGUAAACUGGGUUUUUGCUCAACUCUAUGGUUGACUUGUUGUCAAUCAACAGACAGAAUUUCUUUACUUCCUCCUUCAUUAUAUCAGCAAGCAAGGUACUCAACCACACUCCCUGACAAACACCCAGAGCUGCUGCAAUAUAUUCAGCUUCACAGGAUGACCUGUUUAGAAGAUAUACAACUAUAGUGACUGCUUCACCCCAGAAUCUAGGUGGCACACUCCUGCCUUUUAGUAGACAUCUAGCCAUCUCGACAACUGACUGAUUUCUUCGUUCAAUAACCCCAUUUUGUUGAGGAGUAUAGGGUGUUGUGGUGAAGUGUAUUAUGCCUUGUUCAGUACAAAAUGUAGUGAACAUCCUUGAAUUGAACUCUCCUCCUCUAUCUGUCCUCAAGGCUUUCAACUUGCUUUCUAGCUCUACUUCUGCUCUCUGCUUGAUCUUGAUCAGACAUGACAAAGCUUCACCUUUUGUCUUCAGGAGUUCAAUCCACAUAAACCUGCUGAAAUCAUCAACUACUAAUAGGAAAUAGUGGUUUCCACCUACUGUCUGUGGUCUAAUCUGGCCACAUAGAUCAGCAUGAAACAAUUCUAGACCCCUCUUUGCCCUGUAAAGCGAUGUCUUUGGAAAAGGUGCUCUGUGCUGCUUUCCCAAAGUACAUGCAUCACAAACUUGCUCAAGUCUGUCCACAACUGGCAUCCCUUCUACCAUUCCUUUCACUCCCAAAUUUCUUAGAGCUUUAAAAUUCAGGUGAACAAAUCUUGAAUGCCAUAGCCAAGCUGCAUCAUCUAGCUUUGACAGCAAACAAACUGGAGGUAUCACACUCAACUGUACUGUGUACAGUCUGUUCCCAGUGCGAGGUGCACUGACCAACAGGUUAUACUCUAGAUCAAAUACUUUCAGUCUACCAGCAAAUAGUCUGAUGUCACAGCCUGCUUCCUCUAGUUGUCCAAGACUAAUUAUGUUGCUUUUCAAUUGUGGAAUGUAGUACACACUAGUGAGUACCUUGUGGUCUCCUUGUAUGGUUUUCAUCACCACCAAACCUAGUCCACAGAUUUUGACAGUAGACCCAUCACCAAACUUCACUGACCCACUGACAGUGUCAUCAAGUUGAGUAAGUGUAGACUUGGUGCCUGUCAUGUGGUUACUAGCUCCAGUGUCCAAUACCCAGACUUCAUCUGAACAGACUGCAGGCACUACUUUUUCUUCAGACAGGUGUAUUUCCUGAGAAGUUCAACCUAAUGAGUCUUGCACCUCAGCGAAGAGUAGUGCUGCAUUCUCCACAUCUCCAACUGCAACAUUUGCCUCCUGCUGUUUGUGAUCCUUCUUAUCUCUGUUUGGUCUUUUACAGUCUUCUGCCCAAUGACCAUAGAUGCCACAGUUUCUACAUCUCCCUUUUCUUCUGGGUGUUCCUUGUGAUGUCAAUUUGACCUUGUGAGGAGUACUGGAGCUAGCACCUUCAGAUUUGUUAGAAACCUUUGCCUUCCACUGGUUUGUCCCUCCACUAUUAUUGUUCUUAUGUGAAUUGGACUGAAACCUUUGCUUGUGUUUCUCCAACCAUUCCUCUUCAGCUAGUAGCAGUCUUCCUGCUUUGUCUGUGACUUGCUCUAGUUUGUCUUCAAAUCGAUCUUUAGCUGCCCGAAGCCUUCCAACUACGUCUUCAACUGAAAGUGUCUUAACAUCACAGAACAUCUCGAUUGAGACAGCAACUUGAUUGAACUGGGGUGGCACAACUCUUAGAAACUUCUUGACAACACGAGUAUCUUCUAAGGGUUCACCAAGUGAUUUGAUAGAAAUUUUGACACUUAACAGGAAAUAUAAUUUAAAAAGUUAGGUGGUGUACUCAUCUGUAUUUUUUACUAUUCUUUGUUUUCUUCCAUUCUAUGAGAUGCAUGCUUUGUAAGGAAUAUGAUUUGUUUCGUGACAACAAAAUUGGUAGAAUAUGUACUUUAAAGUCUAAAUUGAUGACUAUGAUGCACUAGGUGACACUCCACUGGACAGUCAACUCUAGACAGGGCUAGACAUGUAACG